GAUGAACGCUGGCGGCGUGCCUAAUACAUGCAAGUCGAGCGAACAGAUGAGGAGCUUGCUCCUCUGACGUUAGCGGCGGACGGGUGAGUAACACGUGGAUAACCUACCUAUAAGACUGGGAUAACUUCGGGAAACCGGAGCUAAUACCGGAUAAUAUAUUGAACCGCAUGGUUCAAUAGUGAAAGACGGUUUUGCUGUCACUUAUAGAUGGAUCCGCGCCGCAUUAGCUAGUUGGUAAGGUAACGGCUUACCAAGGCAACGAUGCGUAGCCGACCUGAGAGGGUGAUCGGCCACACUGGAACUGAGACACGGUCCAGACUCCUACGGGAGGCAGCAGUAGGGAAUCUUCCGCAAUGGGCGAAAGCCUGACGGAGCAACGCCGCGUGAGUAAUGAAGGUCUUCGGAUCGUAAAACUCUGUUAUUAGGGAAGAACAAAUGUGUAAGUAACUAUGCACGUCUUGACGGUACCUAAUCAGAAAGCCACGGCUAACUACGUG
rnacentral:rRNA from 1 species